rnacentral:rRNA from 1 species
UACGUAGGGACCGAGCGUUGUCCGGAAUCAUUGGGCGUAAAGAGCGUGUAGGCGGCCACUUAAGUCCUGCGUGAAAUCUUGCGGCUCAACCGCAAGCGGUCGUGGGAAACUGGGUGGCUAGAGUGCGGGAGAGGAGAGUGGAACUCCUGGUGUAGCGGUGGAAUGCGCAGAUAUCAGGAAGAACACCCGUGGCGAAGGCGGCUCUCUGGAACGCAACUGACGCUGAGACGCGAAAGCGUGGGGAGCAAACAGG